CAAAAGUAAGAGCAAGACGAAAGCAGUGAAAUUAUUCGCAACUGUUUAGAACAGUUUCCUUUUAAAAACCAUGUUGGAGUUCAAAAUCUGUAACAAAUACAUUCGGUUACAAACAUAAAUACAAGUUGUGAAUGAUUGUACAAAGUGUAACCAUCAUGGCCCAUCCAGCUCGCAAUCACAAUUGACCAUUAAAAAAAUGAUUUUUGCAUUUAUUCAAUAUCCUUCAUACCUGAUUGCCAGUAAUAUUUUCAGACAAAAAAUUUUUUUAAAAAAGGAACCAAAUACUGAAGCCAUCAUAUUUAUGAAUAAUUUCAUUUCAGGGCGGUAAAACAAUCUGCCUAUCUUCACAAGUAAUUCAUCACUAGUGACACAAC